GACCAGACUCCUACGGGAGGCAGCAGUGAGGAAUAUUGGUCAAUGGGCGAGAGCCUGAACCAGCCAAGUCGCGUGAGGGAAGACGGUCCUAUGGAUUGUAAACCUCUUUUGUCGGGGAGCAAAAGCCGGACGUGUCCGGCUGUGAGAGUACCCGAAGAAAAAGCAUCGGCUAACUCCGUGCCAGCAGCCGCGGUAAUACGGAGGAUGCGAGCGUUAUCCGGAUUUAUUGGGUUUAAAGGGUGCGUAGGCGGAAUGCCAAGUCAGCGGUAAAAUCGCGGGGCUCAACCUCGCUCCGCCGUUGAAACUGGCGUUCUUGAGUGGGCGAGAAGUAUGCGGAAUGCGUGGUGUAGCGGUGAAAUGCAUAGAUAUCACGCAGAACUCCGAUUGCGAAGGCAGCGUACCGGCGCCCAACUGACGCUCAUGCACGAAAGCGUGGGUAUCGAACAGGAUUAGAUACCCUCGUAAG
rnacentral:rRNA from 1 species